rnacentral:rRNA from 1 species
UAAGGCUAAAUAUGACCACGAGACCGAUAGCGAACAAGUACCGUGAGGGAAAGUUGAAAAGCACUUUGAAGAGAGAGUUCAAGAGUACGUGAAACCGUUUAGGGGUAAACCUGAGAAACCCGAAAGGUCGAAGGGAGAAAUUCAUUCGCGUUUCGUCGUCGGCGUGAGACGGUCGUGUGACGGAGGACGCGUUCGCGCGUUUUCCGCACCUUUCGUUUUUCGAUCCGAUGGCGAACGCGUGCACUUUUCUCCUGGUAGGACGUCGCGAUCCGUUGGGUGUCGGUCUACGGCUCGCGGUGGAGCCCGGACGUUUACGUUCGGACCCGCGUGUCCCGGCUGACUCGCUCGACGGUAUACGAAAGGUUUAAGGCCGCUCUCUCCAGAGAGCGUUCGGCUCGCGGCAAGCGCGCCAGAUGUGUCGGCGAUCGGACCUAGUGCCGGUUCUGACCUCUGGCGACUGUUGGCCGCGAAGUUCUCGAACAGACUUUGACCGAUCUGCGACGCUAUAGCUUUGGGUACUUUCAGGACCCGUCUUGAAACACGGACCAAGGAGUCUAGCAUGUGCGCGAGUCAUUGGGAAUCACUAAACCUAAAGGCGCAAUGAAAGUAAAGGUCCGCCUCGCGCGGACUGAGGGAGGACGAGCGGUUUACCCUUAAAAGUGGCCGCUCCGCACUCCCGGGGCGUCUCAUUCUCAUCGCGAGAAGAGGCGCACCAAGAGCGUACACGCUGGGACCCGAAAGAUGGUGAACUAUGC